AGUGAACGCUGGCGGCGUGCCUAAUACAUGCAAGUCGAACGAAGUGGCGCACGGGUGAGUAAUAUAUCGUUAAUCUGCCCUCCACAGAGGAGCAACAGUUGGAAACGACUGCUAAUACCUCAUAGUGUAAGAUGAGACUAUAUCGUAUCAGCUAGUUGGUAAGGUAAUGGCUUACCAAGGCGAUGACGCGUAACAGGUCUGAGAGGAUGAUCAGUAACAUUCGAACUGAGGCACCGUCGAAACACAUUGGGGAAGGAGCAGUAGGGAAUAGUGCCCAAGGGGGGUGAGCGAGGCGGGGCUACGGCGCGUAGAGGAUUAUACUUGUGGGGGCGUGAACUCAUUUUAACAGGAACGCGGUACCUGCUGAAGAAGCACCGGCUAACUCCGUGCCAGCAGCCGCGGUAAUAC
rnacentral:rRNA from 1 species